rnacentral:rRNA from 1 species
CGUAGGGUGCGAGCGUUAAUCGGAAUUACUGGGCGUAAAGCGUGCGCAGGCGGUUCGCCAAGUCAGGUGUGAAAUCCCCGGGCUUAACCUGGGAAUUGCGCUUGAAACUAGCGGGCUUGAGUGCGGCAGAGGGGGGUGGAAUUCCACGUGUAGCAGUGAAAUGCGUAGAGAUGUGGAGGAACACCGAUGGCGAAGGCAGCCCCCUGGGUCGACACUGACGCUCAUGCACGAAAGCGUGGGGAGCAAACAGGA